rnacentral:rRNA from 1 species
AUUGAACGCUGGCGGCAUGCUUUACACAUGCAAGUCGAACGGUAACAGGCCGCAAGGUGCUGACGAGUGGCGAACGGGUGAGUAAUGCAUCGGAACGUGCCCAGUCGUGGGGGAUAACUACUCGAAAGAGUAGCUAAUACCGCAUACGAUCUAUGGAUGAAAGCGGGGGACCGUAAUGCCUCGCGCGAUUGGAGCGGCCGAUGUCAGAUUAGGUAGUUGGUGGGGUAAAGGCUCACCAAGCCAACGAUCUGUAGCUGGUCUGAGAGGACGACCAGCCACACUGGGACUGAGACACGGCCCAGACUCCUACGGGAGGCAGCAGUGGGGAAUUUUGGACAGUGGGCGCAAGCCUGAUCCAGCAAUGCCGCGUGCAGGAAGAAGGCCUUCGGGUUGUAAACUGCUUUUGUACGGAACGAAACGGCUCUGGUUAAUACCCGGGGCUAAUGACGGUACCGUAAGAAUAAGCACCGGCUAACUACGU